GUGUUUGUAGUCCAACGGUUAGGAUAAUUGCCUUCUAAGCAAACGACUCGGGUUCGACUCUCGGCAAAUGCA
rnacentral:tRNA from 1 species